GACGAACGCUGGCGGCGUGCUUAACACAUGCAAGUCGAACGGAAAGGCCCUGCUUUUGUGGGGUGCUCGAGUGGCGAACGGGUGAGUAACACGUGAGUAACCUGCCCUUGACUUUGGGAUAACUUCAGGAAACUGGGGCUAAUACCGGAUAGGAGCUCCUGCUGCAUGGUGGGGGUUGGAAAGUUUCGGCGGUUGGGGAUGGACUCGCGGCUUAUCAGCUUGUUGGUGGGGUAGUGGCUUACCAAGGCUUUGACGGGUAGCCGGCCUGAGAGGGUGACCGGCCACAUUGGGACUGGGAUACGGCCCAGACUCCUACGGGAGGCAGCAGUGGGGAAUAUUGCACAAAGGGCGGAAGCCUGAUGCAGCAACGCCGCGUGCGGGAUGACGGCCUUCGGGUUGUAAACCGCUUUCGCCUGUGACGAAGCGUGAGUGACGGUAAUGGGUAAAGAGGCACCGGCUAACUACG
rnacentral:rRNA from 1 species